UUAGCUUGUUUUUCUCUAAAAUGGGAUAAUUGGCCCAUUUAGCUCCAAAAAGAAAUAGUUAUCUAAUUGAGCUCCAAGAAGAGGAGAAUAAAUAGUAAAAAUAAAAAGAAAGAAGAAGAAGAAGAAGAAGAAGAAGAAGAAGAAGAGAAGAAGGAGAAGGAGAAGGAGGAGGAGAAGGAGGAGAAGGCCAAGGACCUUCUAC
rnacentral:lncRNA from 1 species